rnacentral:rRNA from 1 species
GACGAACGCUGGCGGCGUGCCUAAUACAUGCAAGUCGAACGAACCGCGACUAGGUGCUUGCACUUGGUCAAGGUGAGUGGCGAACGGGUGAGUAACACGUGGGUAACCUACCUCAUAGUGGGGGAUAACAGUCGGAAACGACUGCUAAUACCGCAUAGGACAUAGGAUCACAUGAUCCAGUGAGGAAAGGUGGCGCAAGCUAUCGCUAAGAGAUGGACCCGCGGUGCAUUAGCUAGUUGGUAGGGUAAAGGCCUACCAAGGCGAUGAUGCAUAGCCGACCUGAGAGGGUGAUCGGCCACAUUGGGACUGAGACACGGCCCAAACUCCUACGGGAGGCAGCAGUCGGGAAUCUUCCGCAAUGGACGCAAGUCUGACGGAGCAACGCCGCGUGAGUGAAGAAGGUCUUCGGAUCGUAAAGCUCUGUUGUUAGAGAAGAACAGCGCAUAGAGUAACUGUUAUGCGUGUGACGGUAUCUAACCAGAAAGCCACGGCUAACUACGUG